rnacentral:rRNA from 1 species
UACGUAGGGUGCAAGCGUUAAUCGGAAUUACUGGGCGUAAAGGGUGCGCAGGCGGUCGUGUGUGUCAGGUGUGAAAUCCCGGGGCUUAACCCCGGAACUGCGCCUGAAACUACAUGACUAGAGCAUUGGAGAGGGUAGCGGAAUUCACGGUGUAGCAGUGAAAUGCGUAGAUAUCGUGAGGAACACCAGAGGCGAAGGCGGCUACCUGGACAAUUGCUGACGCUCAGGCACGAAAGCGUGGGGAGCAAAAGGG